rnacentral:rRNA from 1 species
ACACGUAGGGGGCGAGCGUUGUUCGGAAUCAUUGGGCGUAAAGGGCGUGCAGGCGGUCGUGCAAGUCCGGCGUGAAAGACCCCGGCCCAACCGGGGGGACGCGCUGGAAACUGCAGGGCUUGAGUACAGGAGGGGAUGCCGGAAUUCCAGGUGUAGGGGUGAAAUCUGUAGAUAUCUGGAAGAACACCAAUGGCGAAGGCAGGCAUCUGGCCAUGUACUGACGCUGAGACGCGAAGGUGCGGGGAGCAAACAGGUUUAGAUACCCUGGUAGUCCGCACAGUAAACGAUGUGCACCAGGUGGCGGGGGGUCGACCCCCGGUACCGUAGCUAACGCAUUAAGUGCACCGCCUGGGGAGUAUGCUCGCAAGGGUGAAACUCAAAUGAAUUGACGGGG